rnacentral:misc_RNA from 1 species
GUGCAUUUCCAGCAAAAGUGCGAAGCGCCUACGCGGGGAAAUCAGUCCACUGGACUGAUUUCUGAUCCCGCUUCGAUGCGUCGGAUAAUGCGACCAGGAAAAGUG